CCGAAAGCAUAUAUUAAAGUUGCUGCGGUUAAAAAGCUCGUAGUUGAAUUUCGGGGUUAGUAGGUUGGUCAUGCCUCUGGUAUGUACUGGUCUCACUGAUUCCUCCUUCCUGAUGAGCCGUAAUGCCAUUAAUUUGGUGUUGCGGGGAAUUUGGACUGUUACUUUGAAAAAAUUAGAGUGUUUAAAGCAAGCUAACGCUUGAAUACAUUAGCAUGGAAUAAUGAAAUAGGACGUUCGAUCCUAUUUUGUUGGUUUCUAGGAUUGACGUAAUGAUUAAUAGGGAUUGUUGGGGGCAUUAGUAUUCAAUUGUCAGAGGUGAAAUUCUUGGAUUUAUUGAAGACUAACUACUGCGAAAGCAUUUGCCAAGGAUGUUUUCAUUAAUCAAGAACGAAAGUUAGGGGAUCGAAGACGAUCAGAUACCGUCGUAGUCUUAACCAUAAACUAUGCCGACUAGGGAUCGGAUGAUGUUAAUUUUUUAAUGACUCAUUCGGCGCCUUACG
rnacentral:misc_RNA from 1 species